rnacentral:rRNA from 1 species
UACGGAGGGGGCCAGCGUUGUUCGGAAUCAUUGGGCGUAAAGGGUGCGUAGGUGGCAUGGUAAGUCGGAUGUGAAAUCCCGGGGCUCAACCCCGGAACUGCAUUCGAUACUGCUGCGCUAGAGUACUGGAGAGGAGAUUGGAAUUUACGGUGUAGCAGUGAAAUGCGUAGAUAUCGUAAGGAAGACCAGUGGCGAAGGCGGAUCUCUGGACAGUUACUGACACUGAGGCACGAAGGCCAGGGGAGCAAACGGG